rnacentral:rRNA from 1 species
CAGCCGCCGCGGUAAAACAGAGGGUGCAAGCGUUAAUCGGAUUUACUGGGCGUAAAGGGCGCGUAGGUGGUUAUGUAAGUGAGAUGUGAAAUCCCCGGGCUCAACCUGGGAACUGCAUCUUAUACUGCGUAGCUGGAGUGCAGUGGAGGGUAGUGGAAUUUCCGGUGUAGCGGUGAAAUGCGUAGAUAUCGGAAGGAACACCAGUGGCGAAGGCGGCUACCUGGACUGACACUGACACUGAGGCGCGAAAGCGUGGGGAGCAAACAGGAUUAGAUACCCCCGUAGUCCCUGUCUCUUAUAC